UCCCCUUUUGGUUCCAAUGCCCAAAAGUAUUGGGCAUCCUUCAUCUCCAUGCCCAAAAGGUAUUUGGGCAUCCCUCCUUGCUUGCUGGUUUUCAAAUCUUAGUUACUUCGUAAUCAAGAAAAGAAGAGCAAGAAAAGAAGAAAAGAAAAAGAUCAAGAAAAAGAUCAAAGAGUUGAUUGCGAUCCAAGCUUCGUUCAGAUUCGCUGGAUGAUCGUUUUUAAAAAAAAAAUCAACACCAUAGAGGACUGUUCCAGACUG
rnacentral:lncRNA from 1 species